rnacentral:lncRNA from 1 species
GGCCAAGAAGAGAAAUAUGCGUUGUUCCUAAAGAGAUUGGACGAAGGUGCGGUGGGACUGGGGAAUAUAUCGAUGACACAGGUAUUAUAUCCUUAAGGCAAAUA